AAGUUUUAAUGUACAUUAUGGCUUGGAAUGUGACCCCAGGAUGGGCGAGGCUACCCGCCG
rnacentral:rRNA from 1 species